UCCAUUUUGCAACUUGUUCCAAAGCCCUAUUGUGAAGGCUCAAGAUGUCAGCAGGUGCUGCUGUUAGUUGGCUGGCUAGCCAGCAGGGAACAGGAAGGACCUCUUUCAGCUAUAACAGGCACGAACCCCAACUGUCCAUGGGAUGGACCCCGACUGUCCCACAGAAAGAACCCCGACUAUGACGAGGAUGGUUCUGGAAUCCUGGAGAGAACCAAUGAAGACUGGAGACACUGAACCACAGGAACACUGGAAUGCUGGAACAGGACGUGAUGAUCACCAGAACAAGAUGGAGACUAGAGGAGAAACAUACCAAAACAAGAUUUUACCCCAACAGAGGUACUUUUUUGCACCUACAGAUGCAGUUGCAGAUGCAUUUAUUAUCACUUAGACA